rnacentral:misc_RNA from 1 species
AAGUCGUAACAAGGUUUCCGUAGGUGAACCUGCGGAAGGAUCAUUACCGAGAUUUUUUCCUGCUUGCAGGAAAUCUCCCACCCUUUUGUGUAACGAAAUUUUGAUAUACUUUGGUAAAGCGCUUGUUGAGCAUACGUGCUAAGCAACCAGUGACUGACUUUUUUUUAUGUUAGUGGCUGUGUCUUUGCCAAAGGACCCCAAAUAUAACUCUAUUUUAUAUAAUUAUUUUGUCUGAGUUUAUAAUUUUUAAAAUAAACAAAACUUUCGACAACGGAUCUCUUGGUUCUG